ensembl:lncRNA
GACCCGCCCUGCGCGGGUGCGGGGCUGAGCACCCGUGGCCUUAGGUUUAAAGGCGCGCGAACCACCCACGCAGGGACAAGGGCUCUUAGUCGUUUUAUGUUUAGCGUAAGGUUUUCCUCUUUAGCAAGUAAAAAAAAAGAGCAAGUUGUGCAAUAAAUAGUAACCGUCCUUAUAUGUACUCGGGAAGAUGAUACUGCGUCUUGGUCUCUCUCCUUCUCUUCCUCCUCGCUACCCCCCCACCACCAUCCCGGCCCAAGAUGGAGUCUGGCUCUGUCACCCAGGCUGGAGUGUGGUGGCGCGAUCUCGGCUCCCUGCAACCUCUGCCUCCCGGGUUCAAACAAUUCUCCUGCCUCAGCCUCCCAAAUAGCUGGGGUUACAGAAGUUUGUCUGGCUGCUGUAACUGACUGGGAAGCUUAAAAUAACAGACAUUCAUCUGUCACAUUUCUGGGGACUGGGAAGUCCAAGACCAAGGUGCCAUCUGGGGAGGGCCCAUGCCUCACAGUGCCCUCCAGCUCAGGCCCCAUUUAUAAGGGCACUCAUCCCAUCGUGAGGACCCGACUUACUCACCUCGGAAAGCCCCCACCCCUUAAGACCAUCACCUUGUGGGUGAGGAUUUCAACACAGGAAUUCGGGGGCUGCAAACAUUCACACCGUGGCAAAGCAUGAGGUGCCGUCCCCCAUGCGCUCGGGCUGAUCCGGCGUCUCACGCUAGCAGCUACGUGGAAUUGUUAUUUUUUUCUGGAGAACUCUGUCUGGGACCCCUCUGAUGUCUUGGAGCACCUGAACGGGCCGUUCACUGUGCGCGCCGUGAGGCUGUCCUCUGGGGAGUUCUGCUGUUCUCUGGGUUCUGUCUGUGUCGGUGUCCCAGCGGGAAUGCCGGGCACUUUAGCGUCAUCCCCAGAGGGCUUGGUAAGGGGACUGUUUGCAGAGACAUAGGCAGAGUGCUGGAAAACUACCAGAAAAGUGCCGUGUUCUGGGCCUAAUAAUAGCAGAGCUCUUCUCACCCUGGUCUGAAGGGAAGAGGGAGGAGCAGUUAAUGGAUUCUGGAAGUCAAGUGGCACAGAGUCACCUCGAAAGAUGCCAUGACCUUCACUGAGGGCCAGAGAGAUACUAAGACGACCCCAUAGGAGAAUAAGACCUGGACCUCAUCCUCCUGCCUCCUGCCAGUCCCUGCCAGGGAUCGCCAAUGGCAGAACAGGACUGGAAGCCAGAGGCCGUGGAAGCCCAUGGAUGAAGUCCACAGGCCAGCCUCCCUGAGAGCAGCCUGGACGGUCCACAGGAGACAUCUCCUUUCUUAGGCGUCCCAGGCCACCUGCUCCUGUUCGGCCCCGCCGAGGUGGAAGCUUGGAGUGGGUCGCGGUGGGUGCAUUGACGCUGCAGACGUCAGCAAGUGCUGCAAACCAGAGCUGGCCUUUAACUCAGAGUGGUGGAGAAGACGUUAAUGAUGCAGAUGAGACUUGAAAGUGUUGAAGCCCUUACGCUGUGAGAGCGAAAAAAUUAAGGAAAUCUUCAGGCGUUUAAACACAGUGACUCAAUUCAGCAGAGAAGUCGCUGACAAACAAGAGCUCACACUGACUGUUUUGUUGUUUUGGUUUGUCUUACUCAUUAAUGCAAAUGAGAACAUUCACCGACAUUUGCGUAGGGCCUGCCCUCCCUGGUCAAAUACGGCUAUAGUCUCCCUGCAGAUACAGGUUUGCCAGACAUGAACAGACGUUUUCUGCGAGAAUCAAUUGGUCACAUACCAUUUACAAAAAUGAGUACC